GACACUAUUUUAGUCAUUUUUGACAGUUGUGCAUUCUAAUGAACAAUAAUCCACUCUUAUAAUAAAUUUCUAAAUACUGAUAUGCAGGACUCACAGGAAAUUAUAUAAUGAGAUCCUAAACAUGAGCUAGUUCGACAUUGGAAUAUUUGUCGGCAUUUGGGUACUUGGAAACAGCUUUGCAGUAUAACCCUAAAUUAGCUCAUAAACUUACAAACAAAGUUUAUAGAAAUGCGCUAAUUGAAUUUCAAAUAUUUCUAGACAUACCUCCUACUGGUAUUUUAGACAAAGAAACUCUAAAAGCUUUAAAUACUCAAAGAUGUGGUUGCAUUGAUAGAUUUUAUAGGGUCAAACAAGAUCGAUUUAAAAGAUAUGUCAGACUACAACAUGUUAUAGUCAUUAUGAUUACAUCAUAUUAAUAUGACGUUCCACCAAUCGGUGUUAUUGAAGAUGAUGGCGGAUAGACACUGCGGCGGCUUUGAAAUAAUAGUGAUUACAGUACUACUUUGCCAGGCGACGUUAAAUAGUAGUGACUCCCAAUCGGUUAUGAUAGUAGACGUUUAUUAUAUAACGAUAGUGUAUCGGUAGCGGCAGCUUUUGGUUAAUGAGGAUUGCUACCAACGCCACCUUAGUACACAAUGAUGACUUGCCACGGUGCUGACCGUUAGCAAUUAGUUACCCGUGCCGUAGAAUUGGUGAUGCUGUGUCCCGUAACAAAGUGAAAAGUUGCAAUCGAUGAUAACUACAGAAAAUAGCUGAAAAUUCUGGUUAGGUGGUUGGCGGAUGCCUUAAAAUGCUGAGUAAAGAAAAUAAGGUAGUUAUAACCUUAGUCACCACUCAAAUAAGCGCCUCUCUAUCAAUCCAGCACAGAUAUACAAAAUGCGGACCCAUUGAGAACCUUGUAUAACAAUCACGUUAAAACACGCUGAUCACAACACAGAUAUGGAAUCAUAAAGUAGAUGAAGGAAAUAAAUGAAUGAAUCUGGAUCGAGCAGCGGCGCUCAGCUGGAGACAGUAAUGAAAAGUCGAAGAACUAACCGAUGCUGAAUCAUCAGCGGAAGAUCGAAGACGGAAGCCAUCUGGACGGGCUAUAGAUGACGUCUUGAUACAUUAAGUGGAAAAAGAAAGAAUGUAGUACCCUAGUGUAGGCAAAAAGUAUACUAUACGAUAGACACGCUAUGGAGGAUAACUGCAUCACAGAUAUGUUGAACCGUGAAGGUUGUUUUGGCAUUGAUAAUUUAGUAGGACCAUUCUUUUCAUUGUUCAAUUAUUUUAUAAAUAUGUAAAAAGAAUCUUGAAGAAAAUAAUCAGUGUUCUUGAUGAAUUGUAAGCGUUUUAUCUUG